UAAGGCUCCUUCCUGUGCUUGC
rnacentral:miRNA from 1 species